rnacentral:rRNA from 1 species
GACGAACGCUGGCGGCGUGCUUAACACAUGCAAGUCGAACGAUGAUGCCCAGCUUGCUGGGUGGAUUAGUGGCGAACGGGUGAGUAACACGUGAGUAACCUGCCCCUGACUCUGGGAUAAGCGUUGGAAACGACGUCUAAUACUGGAUAUGACUGCCGGCCGCAUGGUCUGGUGGUGGAAAGAUUUUUUGGUUGGGGAUGGACUCGCGGCCUAUCAGCUUGUUGGUGAGGUAAUGGCUCACCAAGGCGACGACGGGUAGCCGGCCUGAGAGGGUGACCGGCCACACUGGGACUGAGACACGGCCCAGACUCCUACGGGAGGCAGCAGUGGGGAAUAUUGCACAAUGGGCGAAAGCCUGAUGCAGCAACGCCGCGUGAGGGAUGACGGCCUUCGGGUUGUAAACCUCUUUUAGUAGGGAAGAAGCGUAAGUGACGGUACCUGCAGAAAAAGCACCGGCUAACUACGUGCCAGCAGCCGCCGCCG